AACCUUAUGGACCUGCGGGCGUAUACCUGCGGAAGGAUCAUUAUUGAAUAAACCUGGCACGGUUGUAGCUGGCUUCUGCAAGUGCUCGCCGUUGUCAUCUUUAUUUCUCCACCUGUGCACCUUUUGUAGACCUGGAUGAUCGAAAAAUUUUCAGAAGUUAAACUUCUGGAUGGCGAGGUUGUUCCUUGAAUAAAGGUUCUCCUUGUGUUAGGUUAUUCAGGCUCUAUGUCAUUUUCAUAU
rnacentral:misc_RNA from 1 species